GUGAAGCCGGGCUUUACAAAUUUCCCCCGAAUCUCCUGGGAGCAGCCAGCCUCUGAAGAAGCAAUAUUUGGAUGGGAAACUUAUGUCCUCCAAGCUGCUUAACUCCAUCGGCUCCUUGCCCUUUCCCAGGCAGGAGAGGGAAAAUCAGGGAGCUGGAGCACCAAAAGUGCUGGGACUGCAGGUGGGGAUGGAGGGAUCUCCAGGGACCGGAGUGAUUCCCUGAGCUGCCUCCCUGCCGUGGAGACCAUCAGGCUCAGGGAUGGGGAUGUGGUGAGGAAAAGCCAGUACAAACUACUGGGACAGGAGGAGCUGGGAUGGGAUUUCAUCAGGUGCCUGACCACCAGGAACCCGUGAGCGCGGGGUUUACAGGCUUUUUGCAUCUUUCCGUGAGUUGAAAAAUCUCCGAGAGACCAGAACCCUGAAUGUUUGCAAAUACUGCUUUCCAUCUGAGAGCUGCCCUCCAGAAAUACCACGGAAAAAGCCCCAGAAGCCACUCAGCCUGUUAUCUGUGUACCACAAAUAAAGAGGUAAACACUGCAAAAUUACUGGACUCUCACCUUUUCCACUAUUUUUCCCACGGAAAUCUCUCCCAAGCAAGGGGCUCCUGAAGCACUUUGGUGCUACUUUAAAAGAGAUCAGGCUGCUAAACUGCACAGGCAAUCUUCCCUGUGUGACUCAGGCUCACUGCAGCUCUGAUGUUAGUUUUUAUCCUCUUUGACCCCAUUUGUUGAUAACAAAA